UGUUGAUGCUGCAUUAAACAAAAUGAUUCCUUAUUGACGUAACUGAUUGAGUCGAUAGCAAGAAUGUCGAUUAUAGUACCUAUUAGUCAAAGAGGUAUCCAUCAAAUAGAGACGUAUCACAAAUUGACCCCAUUUCCCUAAUCAAAUAAAUUAAGGCAGUGGAUUGUGAAUCCACCGUGAACAGAUCCAAUUCUGUCAUUUGCCCAUAAGUAAAAUGAUAUUGUCCUCCUAUCUAUUUUUUGGAAUUUUGUUAGAACAAAGAAGAAAUUCUAAAUUCUUAAGGAGAAAGCAUUAUCACGUUGGCUGCAGCCAUGGCACAAAUGGGGAAGUUCUUAAGCAUUAUCAGAUAUGCUAUAUAUUUGUUUAUAUGAUCUGAAAAUCAGAAUUAGCUCAGAUUCUUUCGACCUUUUUUUUUAGUAGAUCUUACUUUCCUUCCUUGUCCUAUUCUGAAACUAGAACACCGCAUUCCAUUUUCUNGAUUCUUUCGACCUUUUUUUUUAGUAGAUCUUACUUUCCUUCCUUGUCCUAUUCUGAAACUAGAACACCGCAUUCCAUUUUCUUCUUUACUUUCAGUUCGUCCCUAUUGACGUCAACAGGGCAAUCACCAUCCUUGAUAACAAUAAUCCAUGAGCAUAUGACUAAGAGGCAGAAGACCUUAAACAGAGAAAAAGUAGUAGUGCAUUAGUAGGGAAUAAAGAAGUUCAUCCUCCCCACCUUCAUGAGGGGAUCGCGCUCUCUGUUCAAC
rnacentral:lncRNA from 1 species